GUCUACAGUACCAGCACCCUGAACACGCCUGAGCUCAUCCAGUCUUGGAAGCUAAGCAGGGUUGGGCCUGGUUAGUACUUGGUGGGAGACUGCCUGGGAAUACAGGCUGCUGUAGCUU
rnacentral:rRNA from 1 species